GAGUCAACGAGCGGAGUAGGUAUUAGCACAUUAACUAACCCGAAAGGCCAUUAUCGAUGCUUGGAGUAGCAGUCGGUAAAUUCGACACUGGCCUACUCGCGCGCGGUAUUCCCUCUCGCGGAAUAACAUGCCCCGGCACGAGUGAUACGACGAGUCUUGUGGCCGAGCAGAAGUCAUCUUAUUUACUCCGCUUCGCCGCGCGACGACUGUCCUACGCGAAAGCGCCGGGAGAUAAAUUCAAGGUGACUACGUGAGUCAAAAUACGAUUCGCCGCCGUGCCUGCCGAACGUAUCUUUAUCGUAAGCGUAUUUAUUUAUACGUAAAUGAGUAUCGGAUAUGUCGUAUUUAGCGAUGGGAGAGCAUCAGCCAGGUAGUUAAUCUGUUUAUCAGAUACAGUGGUUUUUUUGUUCCUCGACGUUGUUCUCGCGAUCAGCACGUAUACGCCGCGCACUACCGUAAUACCGCUGCCCGCGUGUUCAACGUGAAGUUGCCGACACUUUGAAUUUACCGUAUGUGAAGCUGGUCGAGCGUCCAUUGUUGCAUCGCGGAAGCUGGCACGGAAGCAUUCGUAUCGUCGUGUUCCGCGUUCUUUACUCGUUUCGAGGGCGUGUUUCGUACGUCGAACGUCGAGAGUGCCGUAGAAAGUAACGACCGAUCGUCGUGUCGCUUUAAUUAGCGUGAUCGGCGCGUAGAUCGGCCGUGUUUUCGCGAUCUCGACGUGCCCUUCGUGCGAAUCUAAAAUUUCCCGAGCAGCCAGGAAGAGACAAAAUGGCCAUGUUACGACCAUCAUAGUCAACGAAGCAGACCACUUUAUGCCCAUAUCUGGCAGAGUUUGCGAUGCCGCACGCGAUACCGCGAGACGCAGUUCCGGCGGACGCAGAUGACGCAAGAACGGUGGAUCCGGUUUAAGCGGAGGCUCGAAGAUCUGGGAGCAGCCGAACAUGGCCGGUCUUCAGCCCCGGAGUAUUCGGAUGGAUCAGAGCGACCAGGGCAAAGAAAAUACUGAAAAAUACAAUGGUUUUGGUCUUCCCUGCGUCUUUUUCAAGAAAAAAGCGUGUUAUCAAAUAUCUCGAAUGCAUUGAAAUGUUGGAGCCUCUUUUCUGCGAUGCUGGGAUUGAAUUCCGUGCAGGUUUACCGACAAUAACCGGUUUGGACUCGCCGUACAAUCUAGGAAGCUUCCACUGACACUUGCCGGUGAAUCCGCCCCAUUCUGCAACAAAUUAGAUAAUGGA